ensembl:lncRNA
CGGCCCGGCCAGCCCCGGGGCCGGGCGGCUCCCGCUCACCUGCCCAGCUCCCGCGGGGUGGGGCGGAGGGGCCGCCCCGAGUCCGCGGGGCUGCGCGGAGGAGCGGCGGUGUCCCCUCCAGGGAGACCGGGCGGUGGAGAGACGGGGGAAGGGGCAGAGGAAGAGAAGGAGGAGCAGGCAGCCUCAGCGCAGUGAACCACUCAAGAAUGUCUAUGAUGAUGCAGAAGAGUGUGUGAAAACAGCAUAUUUCAGCCGCAUCUUCUUUUGUGGAUCAGCUUCUGCUACUUGCAGCUUCCCUGAAUAGCCCAUAAAGAUAAGAGCUUUCCAGUGUACUGACAGCAGAGUCUACUGAAAAGAGAGAGGCAGGUUGAGAAGCUUUGUAAGAGACAUGGGAGUGGGAGGAUGCUGCCUGCAUGAGUCUGUGGUGGUGCAGGAGGACAGCAAAACCUGCUCUGCUUUUGAAAGUCACAACAUGCUGUUCCACAAGACUGUCACUAAGGAGGCCAGGAUAAAAAGCAGUGGGGUUCUGUACUCCCAGCUAGGGUGGAUGUGCAGCGUUGUAGCAGAUGCUCCAGUACACUGCAAAAUAAAAUGGUACGGCCUUUUUUACAUUAUAAUAUGCUCCUUUUGUGUACAGUUGAACCAUAUUGAUAUAAGUUUCUUCAUAAUUCUUCAGGUUCUCCAAAGUUCAGAAAUAUCCUGGUAUUUUCAAGACUUAGAUUCUAAAAGACUGAUUUUAAUGUCAGUCCACAAACUAUUAUUUACAGCCCCUAAUUGUUGUAGUGAAUGAAAAAAAUAGUGCUUCUUGCAGUUCCCACUGUCCUUUUCCCAAACUUUGCAGAGUCUACUGUGCUCAUGUUGAAACUGGGCUCUGGAAAUCUUGGAUUGCCAAACCACACCCUUAUCUCAUUGUUCUGAGGGGACCCAUCUCUACUGGCAGGACAAGAGAGGCACUGUCCACUGCAGACAUCAGCCUUCCCAAUGCCAUGGAACCCUUUGGUUUCCAAAUCUCUGAUAUUAAGUGCAGUUAAAAUUAUACCAAGGGGACUCCCAGAAGCAUAACAUGCACUAGUGAAUAUUGCUAUCAGAACUUUCAUUUACCCUGAAACCCCAGAUCAUCCAGCAAUUAUACUGGAUAUUUGAAACUUGGGUUUCUCAAAUGCUGAUGUUAAGGCCAAGAACAUGUUCAUGCCAACUGAAAAGAGAAUGGCACUGGCACCUAUAGAUAGCAGAGCUCUGCUAAGGUCCAUAUUCACAGCAACAUUUAAUGUUUGUAUCUUCAACUUUCAAUUAAACUCUUAACCCUGCCCUGAUAUACAAUUGAGCAAUUGGCUCAUAGAAAAAAAAAUGCAACACUGAUACCUGCUGGCACAAGUUGGCCCUUUAACAUUCAGCAAUAAAGCCAGUUCUUGGAACUCCUAAGUCUCA